UGGCGGCGUGCUUAACACAUGCAAGUCGAACGGAGUGAAGAGGAGCUUGCUCCUUGGAACUUAGUGGCAAACGGGUGAGUAACGCGUAGGCAACCUGCCCUUCAGAUGGGGACAACAUUUCGAAAGGAAUGCUAAUACCGAAUGAUGUGCAUUGGUCGCAUGACCGAUGUACCAAAGGCCGGGCAACCGGUCACUGAAGGAUGGGCCUGCGUCUGAUUAGCUAGUUGGUGGGGUAACGGCCCACCAAGGCGACGAUCAGUAGCCGGUCUGAGAGGAUGAACGGCCACAUUGGGACUGAGACACGGCCCAAACUCCUACGGGAGGCAGCAGUGGGGAAUCUUCCGCAAUGGGCGCAAGCCUGACGGAGCAACGCCGCGUGAGUGAAGAAAGGUUUUCGGAUCGUAAAGCUCUGUUGUCAGGGACGAGAGACUUGAUCAGGAAAUGGGUCAAGGAGGACGGUACCUGGCGAGAAAGCCACGGCUAACUACGUGCCAGCCGCAGC
rnacentral:rRNA from 1 species